rnacentral:rRNA from 1 species
UGGGGAAUAUUGCACAAUGGGCGCAAGCCUGAUGCAGCCAUGCCGCGUGUAUGAAGAAGGCCUUCGGGUUGUAAAGUACUUUCAGUCGGGAGGAAGGUGGUAAGGUUAAUAACCUUGGCAAUUGACGUUACCGACAGAAGAAGCACCGGCUAACUCCGUGCCAGCAGCCGCGGUAAUACGGAGGGUGCAAGCGUUAAUCGGAAUUACUGGGCGUAAAGCGUACGCAGGCGGUUGAUUGAGUCAGAUGUGAAAUACCCGGGCUGAACCCGGGAAUUGCAUCUGAUACUGGUAAGCUAGAGUCGUGUAGAGGGGGGUAGAAUUCCAUGUGUAGCGGUGAAAUGCGUAGAGAUGUGGAGGAAUACCGGUGGCGAAGGCGGCCCCCUGGAUAAGGACUGACGCUCCGGUGCGAAAGCGUGGGGAGCAAACAGG